GACAACGUCCAUACCAUGCUGAAAAUACCAGUUCCCGACCGUCCGAUCACUGAAGUCAAGCAGCAUCGGGCCCGGUUAGUACUUGGAUGGGUGACCGCCUGGGAACACCGGGUGUCGUUGUCA
rnacentral:rRNA from 1 species